rfam:Myotis lucifugus cont2.33318, whole genome shotgun sequence.
GCCAGUGUAGCUCAGUUGGUUGAGUGUUGUCCCAUGCACCAAAAGGUCGCUGGUUCGAUUCCAGUCAGGGCA